AGCUUCCUCCACAGCCCCUGCCAGCGAGUGCUCACAUUACAUCCUGCCCCUUGCGGCUGGAGCUGGGCUGCUGCUGCUGGUGGUGUUUCUGAGUCUCAUCUGGACCCUCUGCUCUUGCACGCUAGGAUUCCAGCCCAGGAUCUCAGCACCUCCAGCUUCAGAGGAGAACCAGGAUGGAAUCUUAUACGCUCAUCUGGAUUUCGAUUCGCGGAAUCGCAACGGGCGCACGAUGCAGCGACCGGCCAGAGGGAAACGUGCAAAACCCUGAAGUGUCUAGUGCAGGGGAAUCCGCAAGCAGGGACAGAUGACUGGUUCUGAGCUGAUUGGAAGUAGACAGAGCCUUCUUCCAGCUGGCUAUUUUCUUUUUUAUUUUCUCCUCUUCUCUGUUUAGAAAUAAAAAGUCAGAAGAUCCCCACAGAGUCCAGCCUCAUGAGGUGGGAAAUCUCCUUUUGGGAUAUAAAGGCAUCAGGGUGUAGAUGACUUUACACAUCACGUGUGUAUUAGAUUGGAAGCUCUUUGGGGCAGGGACUGUCUCUUUGUUCUGUGUUUGUGCAGCGCCUGGCACAACGAGGCCUGGUCCAUAACUGGGGCUCCUGGCUGCUAUGGUAAUACAAUCCUUGUCAUCAUCAUCAUCCUCCCCCCAUCUGCAGAGGGACUCGGACACAGCUGAACGGCUGCAGCUUCCCUGCUCAAAGAGUGAAGUCAGAUGGCAGGAGCCUGGAGGCGGGACGUGCAGCCCCUGUAUACACCACAGCUCGCAGCUCCCCUGAUCUUCAGCAGGCUCGUGCUCACGUUACAUGGACGUGCAAUGGGAUUGUGUAAGGGGAAGGACGGAUGCGGGAGGAGCUGGGAGGGAUGAGAAUCUCUUCCCAGCCCAGUGCUGGAGCUGUUACUACAGUGUCCCUUCUAGAGACUGCUGCUUUUCCCCACGAGCGAGAUCCACAGGUCCCCAUGUGCCAGCCCCCUGCACCAUCCAACAAUGACAACACCUUGUCAAUGACUAGAGCUCUCCUGGUCCCUGAGCCUGCACAUCACAACUUCUUGUUCUUCAAGCUGUCGUCACUCUGUCACUCAUUAAAAAGGGACGGCAACCCCACUAGUGAUGUCUGUGUUGCCUCUUUUACCUGUUCAGUGCAUCAAUCUCAGCAUAUUGUGUAAUAAGAAAGGUGUCCCAAAGGAUUUAAGAGACCCAGUUCUGCUCUGGUUUACAGCAGUGUAAAUCUGGAGGAGGUCUGUUGCAGUCAGUGGAGUUACUCUGGAUUUACACCUGUACCUUAGAGAGCAGAA